AAAUCUGGAAAAAAAGAAAAGAACAUAAAAACUAGAAAAGAAACAAAAAUAUUCAUAUAGAUUAUUAAUAUGUACGUUACCUAGGUUUCUCUAAACUCAAACUGAGUAUAUAUUAAACUUUUUCUAGUAGGCACACUUCAUUUCUUGAGGGUUUCUAAUUAACUUCACCGGGAUUCUUAAUAAUGUACACAUAAGGACAGUGCGCCUGUUACCUGUUAGAAUGUUACUUAAUAAGAUCAAAUGAAACAUUAAAAGGUUAUCCAGUUGUUCAACUUCU
rnacentral:lncRNA from 1 species